UACGUAGGGGGCAAGCGUUGUCCGGAUUUAUUGGGCGUAAAGAGCGUGUAGGCGGCCAAGCAGGUCAGCUGUGAAAACUCGAGGCUCAACCUCGAGACGUCGGUUGAAACCGCUUGGCUAGAGUCCGGAAGAGGAGAGUGGAAUUCCCGGUGUAGCGGUGAAAUGCGCAGAUAUCGGGAAGAACACCCGUGGCGAAGGCGGGUCUCUGGGUAGUAACUGACGCUGAGGAACGAAAGCGUGGGUAGCGAACAGG
rnacentral:rRNA from 1 species